rnacentral:rRNA from 1 species
UGGGGAAUAUUGGACAAUGGGCGCAAGCCUGAUCCAGCGAUGCCGCGUGUGUGAAGAAGGCCUGCGGGUUGUAAAGCACUUUUUAGCGAGGACGAGGGUUACCGUGUUGAAUAGACGUGGUAAUUGACGGUACUCGCAGAAAAAGCACCGGCUAACUCUGUGCCAGCAGCCGCGGUAAUACAGAGGGUGCAAGCGUUAAUCGGAAUUACUGGGCGUAAAGCGUGCGCAGGCGGUUUGGUAAGACAGAUGUGAAAUCCCCGGGCUUAACCUGGGAACUGCAUUUGUGACUGCCAGACUAGAGUGUAGCAGAGGGGGGUAGAAUUCCACGUGUAGCAGUGAAAUGCGUAGAUAUGUGGAGGAAUACCGAUGGCGAAGGCAGCCCCCUGGGCUAACACUGACGCUCAUGCACGAAAGCGUGGGGAGCAAACAGGAUUAGAUACCCCAGUAGUCCCUGAGCGGGCUGGCAAGGCGCAU